rnacentral:rRNA from 1 species
UCGAGAAUUUUUCUCAAUGGGGGAAACCCUGAAGGAGCGACGCCGCGUGAAGGAUGAAGGUCUUCGGAUUGUAAACUUCUGUCAUUAGAGAACAAGUGUCACCGAGUAACUACCGGUGGCUUGAUAGUAUCUGAAGAGGAAGAGACGGCUAACUCUGUGCCAGCAGCCGCGGUAAUACAGAGGUCUCAAGCGUUGUUCGGAUUCAUUGGGCGUAAAGGGUGCGUAGGUGGCGAGGUAAGUUGGAUGUGAAAUCCUGGGGCUCAACCCUAGAACUGCAUUCAAUACUGCCUUGCUAGAGUACUGGAGAGGAGAUUGGAAUUUACGGUGUAGCAGUGAAAUGCGUAGAUAUCGUAAGGAAGACCAGUGGCGAAGGCGGAUCUCUGGACAGUUACUGACACUGAGGCACGAAGGCCAGGGGAGCAAACGG